GAUGAACGCUGGCGGCGUGCCUAAUACAUGCAAGUCGAGCGAAUGGAUUAAGAGCUUGCUCUUAUGAAGUUAGAGGCGGACGGGUGAGUAACACGUGGGUAACCUGCCCAUAAGACUGGGAUAACUCCGGGAAACCGGGGCUCAUACCGGAAAACAUUUUGAACCGCAUGGUUCGAAAUUGAAAGGCGGCUUCGGCUGUCACUAAUGGAUGGACCCGCGUCGCAUUAGCUAGUUGGUGAGGUAACGGCUCACCAAGGAAACGAUGCGUAGCCGACCUGAGAGGGUGAUCGGCCACACUGGGACUGAGACACGGCCCAGACUCCUACGGGAGGCAGCAGUAGGGAAUCUUCCGCAACGGACGAAAGUCUGACGGAGCAACGCCGCGUGAGUGAUGAAGGCUUUCGGGUCGUAAAACUCUGUUGUUAGGGAAGAACAGGUGCUAGUUGAAUAAGCUGACACCUUGACGGUACCUAACCAGAAAGCCACGGCUAACUACGUGCCAGCCGCCGCGGUAA
rnacentral:rRNA from 1 species